rnacentral:rRNA from 1 species
UUGAUUACGUCCCUGCCCUUUGUACACACCGCCCGUCGCUGCCCGGGACUGAGCCAUUUCGAGAAACUCGGGGACGAUUAGUGUGUCAGCUUCGGCUGGCGCGCAGAUUGAAACCGAUUUAAUCGCAGUGGCUUGAACCGGGCAAAAGUCGUAACAAGGUAGCUGUAGGUGAACCUGCUGCUGGAUCAUUACCCAA